AGCUGCAGGGCCAGGCCAGUCUCUGAGACCCCCGGCUUUGCUGCUGCAAGUCUCCUUCGCGAGGUCUCUCCUCGAGGGCUGAGAGAGAAUUAGGAUUCACGGCUGUGAGCAUGAGGAGGAACCUCUGUGGAGUUUUCUCCUUUCCUGCCACUGACUGUGCCGAAAACAAACUUCCCUUUGACAAGGCUGCAGAAUAACGACCCCGUUUUUCUCCAGAGCGUCCCAUCUUCCCAGGGGCCGGGCCAGGGAAAUGGCUGUGGUGGAUCCAGCUGAGGGGCCAGUGAGCUUCGAGGAGGUGGCUGUGUAUUUCCCCAUGGGGCAGGGGGCUCUGCUGGACCCCGCUCAGAGAGCCCUCUACAGGGACGUCCUGCAGGAGAACUAUGGGACUGUACUUGUGUGACGGAGCGGUGUGACGAUGCAGUUCUGGCGGGACCCAACUGAGAGUGCCAAAUCAGGACCAAUUGCUUAAACAGGGCAGUCACAGCCCUAGGCUGGGGUUUUUCCACCUCUAAGGCAAACCAAACC